UUAACGGAUACGAUAUGGGAAGGUUGAGCUGUUGUUUAUCUGUUUCUAGAGAUGCUAGAAUUCUGGAGAAUUUUAUCUUUGGAAAUCUUUAAAAUGUUGCAUGAUGAGUUCCUGUAUGAUGAGAGUUUAAAUUCCUACCACAGCCAUAUAUACAUGCUUGCUAGACUUCGAGCCACACAUUUACUUUUUACUGCUUAUGAGCAUUGAGUGUGGUCAAGCUGUGUAGACCCUUAGGAGCUUGUCAUGUGGUUAAAUCAAGAUUCACUUGCACGUUCACUCACACAUGCUACUUCUACUCCGGAAGUACCAUCCACAUAUAUCAAUACAUUUCCAUCUUCAGAAUCACCCAAAAAUAUUCUACUCCUAAUCCGGGAGAGAAUAGCCAAAAAUAAUUUUGUUCUUCCUUGUGUAAUAAAUGUCUCAAGAUCAAUAAAGAGUAUUAUUAUUAUGUCUUGUGUGUCUCUACUUUAUUUUUUUGCAAGAAAGCAGAAAACAAGUAUGGGGGAGAUCCCUCGACAUGCUAAACACACUCCGACUACACCACUCCACGAUUCAGGUACACACUCUGCACACUUUACUUUACACAUAUAUAUAUUGUAGAUUAUGCAGAAUAUUGUUCCCGACAUGAUAAAAUAAAAAGAUUAAAAUAUUUCUAAUCAUGAUUAAUCUCAAUCUGUGAUAUUUCCUGAAAACUUGCAAUUUAUUAUAAAAUCAUUUUAAACCCUGUGUUACUUAAGUCAAUAUGGAAUAUGUGAUGGUAGAGUAUGAGUUUCUUAUUCUUGAUAUCAUUGUUGCUUGGAGAAUUUAUUUCAAAAUAUUCAAAAUUCUAGCUACCAUCCUCAGUGUUUUAUAUGCCUGAUAAAACUGAAAAUAUUAAUUAUAAAAGCUAUCUGCUCUGUAUUGAGUUUGUUCAAAAUGAGUUAGACCCUUGUUGAGAGAUUUAUCAUGCUCCUAAGAUCAAGACAUUAUUUCAGUAAGAUUCACUCUUCCGAAGUAUUAUUGCAUUAGAGGCAUGGGCUAUGCAAAAAUAGAAGAUAUUUCGAGGAAAUAAAAAGGAGCAAGUGCUCGACAACCUCGCAGAAAAAAUGGACAAGUGUCCGGAAGUAGAAUUAGGGGUACCUCGGUAUCCACUUAAAAAAAAUAAAAAAAAAUGACAGCCCAUGGUCCCUCUAAUAAGCAAUAUGCCAGCAAGAGUUGACAAAGUUUUUAAUUUCCAAAGUCUUUGAUCUAAGAGUAUGACAUUUCCCUCCUCGGAUCCCGUUUUGAUCAGGCAAUAAAUCUAAAGUAAGUAUGCUUGAGAUUUUUGCAAAAUAAAACAGCCUCAGUGAGAUAUAUAUAUAAAAGAUAAUGAGUGAUCUGAGAGAACCUAUGAGGAUCAAAAAGGUAUGCUAACUUUCUUUCAAAAAUAUACAAAAACUCUAAGUGAUAGGAUUGAAAAGAAAGAAUCUUUACACUUAACCAUACACAUCCCUGACUAUGGUACACAGUGGAAUUUUUAACACCCUGCAAUUAUAAAGAGAAUGUUUUAAAUGUUUACCCCAGAUAUUAUUCUUAACCAUCCUUUUCUCGAGGACGAGUAAAAGCCUAAGUAUGGGGGUAUUUGUUGACGGUUCUUAAGUAUCAAUUUUAAUUAUCAAAUAAACAAGAGAAAGGACCAAUAUGCAACCAUCACCUAGAAUUAGGGUUUGAUCUGACAGAAUUCCACGAGUUUUGUUGUUUAUCUGUUUCUGCAGGGGGUUAUCAGGAAAUAAGGAAGAAAGGCCCACAUGUCAGGAUUACAUAGAGAUAUCAACGCACCGCGUAAUUUUACAUCAUCUAGAAGACUCCAGAAGCCACGAGAUCGAAGCGGAGGCAAAACUGGGCCAGGCCCAGGGCGCCCGCCCCCCUGCUGGAGUCAAUUCAGGACUCCUUCGCUCGGGAUAUUCCACCGACCUAUUGGAUCAAGAAAAACAUAGUACCACCUCGGCUAUCGACCCAAAAACGCAUAGAAGGGGAGAACUAUAUAAGCGAGGCUCCCCUGGCCCCUGGAAGACAUGAAGAAAUUAUCAUAGAGACUGAGGGGUGCCCUCGAAGGAAAACCUCUUCUCUAAUUAAUAUUUCUUUUUAGGCUUAGCAAUCAAUGUAAGGUAGAAAUAGAUCUUCUAGUUUCUACUCGAUUGAGAGAGAUAGAGUGGAGGUGUAGAGUGGAGGAAGCCCGGCCUGUCGGUGUCUACUCCAAGCUUGUACCUGCGGGAUCAAGUUCUCCUAACCCGAAGCUUGCUCCUAGGAUUCUUCAGUAAUUCGACUUCUAAAUUCUAGUAAGUUCUUGUUUUAUUGUUCUUAUGGUUUAUGAGUUUACUUUAAUCUCUUCGCGUAGAGUUUAGAGUAAUCAUUGCUGGCGUAAACGUGGUGUUUAGGCUGGGGUACUCAUAGAUAUUCCCUGACUAGCUGGACCGUGGUAGUAGUGAGGAACGUGACAUUUCCGAGCUACCUUUG
rnacentral:lncRNA from 1 species